rnacentral:lncRNA from 1 species
CCACUUGGACCCUUAAUACCUCUUAUUUAUUUAUGGUUUUAACCCACUGAUUCUAGCCCGAUUCCAAUUUCAUCCUUGGUUCUGUAAAUAUUUAUUUUUGAUUUUUUCUUUUAAAUUGUUUUUGUCUAUUAUCAUUAGUUUUUCUUAUUUGUCUUAAUUUCAUCUUUAUUUGUUUUUUUUAUCGUAUAGCUAUAUUUUUCUUUUCUU